rnacentral:lncRNA from 10 species
UUCCGCAAACAUUUAAAUUUUUGUUAAACAUGUACUAGCAUGUCAUGUAUUUUACAUCAAUAUUGCAAAUUUAAUACAAACCACAGUACAAAAAAAUUUGAAAGCUUCCUAAAGGCACUGAGAAAGCAGUAGAGAAAGUUGCAUUUAUAGUGCAUAAGUUUUAAAAAUUCAACAAGUUGGUCUAGGUAUUGAAAACUUUUUUCUUCCAGUAGAAACUGCAAAAAUAUAAGUUGUAUUGAUCUCCUCCCUUCCAUCCCAUUCCCACCUUAUAUUUGACUUUAAUACUUUUUCAGCUAUAUAGGGAAAAGCUACAUACACAGAAAAACAUGAACCUGUAAUUAGUGCUAACAAUGACAUUUUAGAGAGAAGUGAUACAUCCACACUUUCUAUGUUCCAUAGUCUUCCCCACUGUUUUCCAAGAGGGUUGUGGCUAUAAAAUAACCAAAGUGCUGACUUGGGGAGUUUUUGUUGCCGUUGAGGAAGGGAUGUCGGACACCUCGCUGAUCCCAGGCUCUCAGGGCCGCAGCCUCCUGUAGGGUCCCCACACCACAAAACCGGCAGAGCCAACACCCACGUGCUGAGUGCAGCGUCAACACAGCGUGGCCUGCCUGGCAGCAACCCACCACUCAAUCUGGCACCUGUCACCAGGAGGGCCUUGGGCAGGGGCGCAUCUAAAGGUCUGGGAGGCUGCAGGGCAGGACGUGGUGAAGAAGCCUCCUGGGCAGGGGCUGCCGUCUGUGCUUAAGGAGGCCCCAGUGCUCCUUUGAUGACACUGAAGGGCCUGGCUACAAUCGCAAACACGCAGCCACGUCUCUGAUUCGAUCUUUGGGGCCUGGUGUUUUUCCCAGUGACAGCCGUUGGCUCCAGGACACUCAAGACAUGUGAUACACAAGACUCUCAGUCACUGAGCUCCCUGCCCUCCUCGGCCCCGAGACUGGAAGAGCAGCUGCCACGUUUGGGACCCAGGCGGCGCCCAGGCUGAAGGGAGCUGCUGAGGGCUAAGCUCCAGGACACAGGACGUGGCUGGCCCUCAGAACAGGGAACUCCAAGAGUGGAACAUGCAUGUUGAUUGAGACUUUUUCAGGGAUACAGCAGAUCUGAUUUUUAAUUAUUUUUUGUAGAGACACAUUCUUCCUGUGUUGCCCAGGCUGGUCUUGAACUCCUGGGCUUAAGCGAUCCUCCUACCUUGACCUCCUAAAGUGCUGGGAUUAUAGGCAUGAGCCACUGCGCCUGGCCUGCAGGCCUAAUUAUUAAGGGUCUUUCCAUGAUCAGCAAAGGAGCUGGGCACUCGGUUAGAAUAGGAAGGAAGUGGGAAGCUUCUGAAAUACCAUCCUGGUCUUAAAUCCAUAAAUGCCCAGAGGCCAGAAGUGUGCCAUGCUCAGCAUGAGAAAUGAAUAAAGAGGGGCUCUGUGCCAGUGUAGGGCCAAAGUGGGAAGUAGGCGCCAGUCCUCAGGUGCCUGGUCUUCACAGGUGCCUGCUCUCCACAGGUGACUGACCCUCAGGUGGCUGGUCACCCCAUGGCUGGCCCCUGGGUAGCUCUGUCCCCAUCGUGACUUUAGGUUCUCGGGUUGGUGGAUUGGUGACCUUCACUUUCUGACUUAUGCUUUUGUAUCCAAAUUUCCUACUCUCAGAAAAUAUCGCCUUUACAACUGUUUUAAUGCUAUUAAUACUUGUCUGUCUUGUCCCUAAUUAUUCUCCUAGGAUGGCAAUGGGAACCCUCAUUUGAGUGAACUGUACAGCCAGCCAGAGAGAAACCCCCACAGGCAGCGCAGUUUCCUGUGUCUUCUCUCUACGUUGUGUGUUUCUCUGUACUUCCAAACCCGGAGUCUGUGAACUCUGUAUUACGUGAUGUACCAAGAGGCAGAUUAGGAAGAACCGUCCGCAGAGACCCACUGAGAACUCGGGAGAUGUCCAGAAGGAACAGGGGUUAUGCUGUCAAUUCCAGUCCAGGUCUGGCCUCAGACUCUGUCAUGGCGCCAUGGAGCACCUGCCGCACGGUGUGGGGCAGUGUGGGACCCACGCUGCCAGCCUCUGCUGCCUGGAACGUUCUAGAUUCCUCUAUGAGUGGGCUCACGGACCCCUUUCUCCGCGUGUUGUAUUUCUAAUUUGCCGUGUGCUGGCCUCUACAGUGCACUGUGGCGAUGGGCUGACCCUGCCUGCACAGCACAGGCUGGGAGCUGCAGGUGGCCUGGGAGGGCUGAGCUAGGUGUGUCACCCGACCGCUUCAUCCCCGACUGCGGACUUGGGAGCAUCACCCGACCGCUUCAUCCCCGACUGCGGACUUGGGAGCAUCACCCGACUGCUUCAUCCCCGACUGUGGACUUGGCAGCCAUGGGACGGGUGCUCGCUGCCUCUGGGGCAUGAAGCUGUCCAGCCAUGAUCACUUUCCUAAAGAUUUUAAUUCCUCAAAGAGAAAUGCUGUCAUGCUUGAAUAGACUUAAGGCCAGUUUUCAUUUAAGAACUGUUGGGAUAUUUUACAAAAUUCAGGAUAGGCUCCUGCGUAUGCUGCACACACACACUAGCAGACUGCGCAUGCACAGCUCUGCAAAGCGUGUGUCUUAGGACGGGCUCCGGCCUGACCAGGAGCAGGGCAGCCCAGCCACCGACGCAUCUGAGCGUAGACACACAGAUCUGAGCUUGGAUGGUGGUCACUGCGCUAUGGCAGGAAUGUGCACCCCGAAGCUUGGGGCGGGACCAGCGUGGCCAAGGCACUUUUGGGCAACAUCCCGGGCACCAUUCCCUGGCUGUGAGUAGCCCACUGGGGUGAGUCCAAGGGCUCCCGCUUGACCACAGGGGCGGCCUCAGCAGCUCUGCAGGUGCAGGACUGUUCACCUCGGCCCCGUGCACAGAGCUGGUGGGGAGGCUCCGACUGGGGAAGGCCGUCUGUGGGCUCCAGGCAGGCACAGUGUGCAGGGUGGAAAGGGGUCAGCUCCCUGCUGCGCCCAGCAGUGGCCCUCCCAUGGGGCUGAGCCCCCCGCACGCCGUGCCCCAGGUGCGAGAUGUACACCUGUUGCCGAGAGUCUGGCUCUGUUUUCAGGUGCAUCCUGGUAGGGAAGGUGGCUGGGUGGCUCCUGUCACUGGCCCCCAGCCACACCUGGCUGGGCACACAGCCGUCUGCAGCACCCUCACACCCAGAGUCCUUCUCCAUCUUGAUGGACACAUCUAGCAGCAGCGUCGGACCACACAGGUCCCCCGGAGGCAUCGGUACACCUUGCAGCUUCAUGUCCUCCAUGGGAUAGCCCCUCGUGGCAAAACGCUGAGCUCCAGGCUGAGGGAGCUGGUGCUGCAGGCUCCUCUGGGGAAAGUGGCAGAGGGGAGGGUGCACCUGGUCCUCACCGACAUCCCGCAUGGGUCUGCUGGUCCGGCUGGAGUAGGCACUGGGGGACGGGCUCGGCGGGUGAGAGAUGGGCGAGUUCCUGAAAGUGCCCUGGACACACGGGCAGGGCAGGCAGGAGCCGCGGGGCAUGGGGCGCAGGGAGGGCGGGUCAUUCUUGCUGGGCUGCAGCCUCGGCCUGGCACCAUCCUCACUGUGCUUUCCCGCUGUCCAGGGCAGGGGCUUUGUGGGUCCUGGAGUCUCCCUCCGCCCUGUCACUCCAGAGGCCCUGCUCAGCAUCCUGUGCUGCUCCUCCUCCCUGUCCCUGCAGAGAAAAGACGGGGCCCAUUUGACAGCAGCUGAAGACACCAGGUCUGGCUGCCCUGGGUGGGGGUCUCUAAGGGAGGCUACGAAAUCAGGACGAUGCUAAAUCUGCCAAGGCUGCUACACCGACCCCUCACUGCGCUGUGCCUUCUAACCCCCCCAGCAGCCC